AUUGAACGCUGGCGGCAGGCCUAACACAUGCAAGUCGAGCGAGUGGCGGACGGGUGAGUAAUGUAUGGGGAUCUGCCCGAUAGAGGGGGAUAACUACUGGAAACGGUGGCUAAUACCGCAUACUAUCGGAUGAACCCAUAUGGGAUUAGCUAGUUGGUGGGGUAAAGGCUCACCUAGGCGACGAUCCCUAGCUGGUCUGAGAGGAUGACGAGACAAACUGGAACGGGGACACGGCCCAGACUCCUACGGGAGGCAGCAGUGGGGAAUAUUGCACAAUGGGCGCAAGCCUGAUGCAGCCAUGCCGCGUGUAUGAAGAAGGCCUUAGGGUUGUAAAGUACUUUCAGCGGGGAGGCGUUACCCGCAGAAGAAGCACCGGCUAACUCCGUGCCAGCAGCCGCGGUAAUUC
rnacentral:rRNA from 1 species